rnacentral:rRNA from 1 species
GACAGAGGGGGCAAGCGUUGCUCGGAAUUACUGGGCGUAAAGGGCGCGUAGGCGGAAUGGCAAGUCGGUCGUGAAAUCCUUCGGCUCAACCGAAGAACGUCGAUCGAAACUGCCGUUCUUGAGGAUUGCAGAGGAGACUGGAAUUCCCGGUGUAGCGGUGAAAUGUGUAGAGAUCGGGAGGAACACCGGUGGCGAAGGCGGGUCUCUGGGCAUCUCCUGACGCUGAGGCGCGAAAGCGUGGGGAGCAAACGGG